UAAGGAUUAAAUCGAGCCAGGUGUCUUC
rnacentral:sRNA from 1 species